rnacentral:rRNA from 1 species
UACGGAGGGUGCGAGCGUUGUCCGGAAUCACUGGGCGUAAAGGGCGCGUAGGUGGCUCGUGAAGCGUGCGGUGAAAGUCCGAGGCUCAACCUCGGAUCGGCCGUGCGGACUCGCGGGCUCGAGCGUUGUAGAGGCGGGUGGAAUUCCGGGUGUAGCGGUGGAAUGCGUAGAGAUCUGGAGGAAUACCGAUGGCGAAGGCAGCCAUCUGGCCUAACACUGACGCUGAGGUGCGAAAGCAUGGGGAGCAAACAGG